rnacentral:rRNA from 1 species
AUUGAACGCUGGCGGCAGGCUUAACACAUGCAAGUCGAGCGGGGAAGGUUGCUUCGGUAACUGACCUUGCGGCGGACGGGUGAGUAAUGCUUAGGAAUCUGCCUAUUAGUGGGGGACAACAUUCCGAAAGGGAUGCUAAUACCGCAUACGUCCUACGGGAGAAAGCAGGGGAUCAUUUGACCUUGCGCUAAUAGAUGAGCCUAAGUCGGAUUAGCUAGUUGGUAGGGUAAAGGCCUACCAAGGCGACGAUCUGUAGCGGGUCUGAGAGGAUGAUCCGCCACACUGGGACUGAGACGCGGCCCAGACUCCUACGGGAGGCAGCAGUGGGGAAUAUUGGACAAUGGGGGGAACCCUGAUCCAGCCAUGCCGCGUGUGUGAAGAAGGCCUUUUGGUUGUAAAGCACUUUAAGCGAGGAGGAGGCUCUCUUGGUUAAUACCUGAGAAGAGUGGACGUUACUCGCAGAAUAAGCACCGGCUAACUCUGUGCCAGCCGCCGCAGUAA